rnacentral:rRNA from 1 species
UACGAAGGGGGCUAGCGUUGUUCGGAAUUACUGGGCGUAAAGGGCUCGUAGGCGGCCAACUAAGUCAGACGUGAAAUCCCUCGGCUUAACUGGGGAACUGCGUCUGGGACUGGAUGGCUUGAGUGCAGGAGAGGAACGCGGAAUUCCAGGUGUAGCGGUGAAAUGCGUAGAUAUCUGGAGGAACACCGGUGGCGAAGGCGGCGUUCUGGACUGCAACUGACACUGAGGAACGAAAGCCAGGGGAGCAAACGGG